rnacentral:SRP_RNA from 1 species
GCCGGGCGCAGUGGCGCGCACCUGUAGUCCCAGCUACUCGGGAGGCUGAGGCAGGAGGAUCGCUUGAGCCCAGGAGUUCUGGGCUGUAGUGCACUAUGCCAAACGGGUGUCCGCACUAAGUUCGGCAUCAAUAUGGUGACCUCUCGGGAGCGGGGGACCACCAGGUUGCCUAAGGAGGGGUGAACCGGCCCAGGUUGGAAACGGAGCAGGUCAGAAGUCCUAGCCACAGCAAUCAGACAACAAAAAGAAAUCAAAGGCAUCCAAAUCGGCAAAGAGGAAGUCAAACUCUCACUCUU